GAUUAAGCCAAACAAUUUUUCAAGAAGGAUACGACAGAAGGUAUUAUUAUUAAGGACCUCCCUACUAAAUCUGUGAUUGAAGCUUUAUAGAAUUAUUUUCUUCAAUGUUGGCUUUAAAAAAUUAUAUUGGUAUGUAUUUUACUUAAACUGCUAUGUUUAAAAUGCAGUAAAAACUUCCUAUUACUCAUAAAUCUCUAACACCCGAGGACUAAAAUGUUGUUUGUUGGACAUUUAUCCUAUUCAGUUGAACAGGAAAAUGUGUGAGUUAUUAUUCAACUUUUAUUCAGUGCUUUGUCUAUACAAUAAUAUCUCUAUUGUUACUUCUAAUGAAGACAGUAAGAGUAAAGGAUAUGGCUUUGUCCAAUUUGGGUCGGAGGAUUCUGCAAAUUCCGCUAUUGAGAAGCUUAAUGGGACCAUGAUUGAGACAAGAAGUUGUAUGCCGGUAAGUUUGUCAAUAAGACUGAUCGAGUUUUGCCCAAUCCUAAUGUGAAAUAUAUCAAUUUGUACUUUAAGAACUUAGACACUGACAUCUCAGAGGAGCAUCUUAGAGAAAAGUUCUCCUAGUUUGGAAGUAUAAGUAGCUUAGUCAUUUCAAAAUAUGAGAGCGGAACUUCAAAAGGUUUUGAAUUUGUGAACUUUGAUGAUCCUAAUGAUGCUAAGCAGUGGAGGCUAUGAAUGGAUCACCCAUUUGUAAGUCCUGACUUUGUGAUGCCGUUCUAAUCUUAAAUAUGACUGCAACCAUGCAAUUUAUGAUUCUGUGUGGUGACAUAUAUUCAUCAAGCAGGCUCCAAGUCCUUGUACGUAUCUAGAGCACAAAAGAAAGUAGUGCACUAACAAUUUCUGAAGCUCUUCUUUAACCAAAGAAGGAGAGAGCAAAUUAUGAAAUAACAGGUACUCCUUUUUUCCUUAUAGCAAAAAGAGACUUGAUUAUUUUUUAUCUAUUAAUGAAAAUACAUGAAUUAAUGUCAGGGUUCAAAUGUGUAUGUCAAGAAUAUUGAUGACGAUGUCUCAGAUUAUGAGUUGCAUGAACUGUUUAGCCAAUGAGGUACAAUCACUUUGACAAAAAUAAUGUAAGAUGAGAAAGGUGUUAUCAAAGGUUUUGUAUUUGUAUGCUUCUCAAUAACAGAGGAGGCCUAUAUCGCCGUGAAUACUUUUUAUGGUGAGUCAUAGAUUUGGUGAUAUGCUCUAGAUCAUAGUAAUUAAUCAAUUCCUGAAAGUCAUUACAUGUGGUUUGUAUUUGAUUUUCUCUCCUUAUAUGAGCUUUUUAUGGUGAUGAAUAGGAUGAAACCAUCGGCAUGUCAUAUUUUUCUUCACAUCUAUGCAGCCAAGGCUUAGUCUGAUUUCCAUAUUUAUAUUGCCUUUGGUAUGCCAGAAGAUCUUGAUUUUGGGUAGAUCUAACCAUGAAGUUUCCAUCUAGCUUAUAAGCGGCAGAGUGGUACUGCGGCUGAUCAAUUGUCAUCUUUGUCAAACACAAGAAAGAUUAGAAAAAAUUACACAAUAGAAGCAUGUAAAUGAAUUCGCAAGAAACAUAACCGUUCUUUACAACCACUAAGAUAUAUUCCACUACUGAAUUUAGUUGGUUAUAUAUGUUUGGCAAUAUAAAUAUGGAAAUCAGACUAAGGCCUGGUUGCAUUGAUGUGAAGGAAAAUGUGACAUGCUGAUGGUUUCAUCCUACUCAUCUCCAUAAAAAAGCCCAUAUAAGGAGAGAAAAUCAAAUACAAACUACAUGAAAUGACUUUCAGGAACUGGUUAAUUACUACGAUCUAGAGCAUAUCACCAAAUCUAUGACUCACUGUAAAAAGCAUUCACGAUGAUAUAGGCCUCCUCUGUUAUUGAGAAGCUUACAAAACCAAAAUCUUUGCUCACACCUUUCUUAUCUUGCAUUGUUUUCGUCGAAGUGAUUGUACCGCAUUGGCUAAAUAGUUUGUGCAACUCAUUAUCUGAGACAUUGUCGUUAAUAUUCUUGACAUGCACAUUUGAACCCUGGCAUUAAUUCAUGUAUUUUCAUAAAUAGUAUUUCUCUUUUUGAUAUAAGGAAAUAAGGAGUACCUAGUAUUUCAUAAUUUGCUCUUUCCUUCUCUGCUCAAAGAAGCACUUCAGAAGUUGUUCGCGAGGUACUUUCUUUUGUGCUCUAUCUACGUACGAGGUCUUGAGCCUGCUUGAUGAAUAUAUGUCACCACAAAUAAUCAUAACUAGCAUGGUUGUAGUCAUAUUUAAGAUUAGAACGGCAUUACAAAGCCAUGACUUACUAACGGGUGAUCCAUUCAUAGCCUCCACUUCCUAGCAUCAUUAAGAUCAUCAAAGUUCACAAAUCCAAAAUCUUUUAAAGUUUCACUCUCAUCUUUUGAAAUGACCAAAUUAUUUAUACUUUGAAACAUGGAGAACUUUUCUCUAAGAUGCUCCUCUGAGAUGUCAGUUUCCAAGUUCUUGAAGUACAAAUUGGUAUAUUUUACAUCAAGAUUGGGCAAAAUCCGAUCAUUCUUCUCGACAAACUUACCAAUAUGCUUAUGCCAUCAAUUUUGCAAGAUAUCACAAAUUCUUAAAAAAAAAGAAGAAAUUGACUUAUCUAAGGUCGUUACAUUUGCAAUAUAGAAAGCGAGAUGAUUGGAAGGUAUAUAUGGAAAUGUUUACAACUGCUUGUCUCCAACAAUGGUCCCAUUAAGCUUCUCAAUAGCGGCAUUUGCAGAUUCCUCCGACCCAAACUAGACAAAGUCAUAUCCUUUACUCUUACUGUCAUCAGAAGUGACAAUAGAAAUAUUAUUGUAUAGACAGACAAAGCACUGAAGAAAAGUACAAUAACGACUCACACAUCUGUCUGUUUAACUAAAUAAGAUAAAUGUCCAACAAAUAACAUUUUAGUCCUCGGGUGUUUGCGCUUUAGAAGUAAUAGGAAGUUUUUGUUGCAUUUUAAAUAGAGCAGUGUAAGUAAAAUACACGCCAAUAUAAUUUUUUAAAUCCAACAAUCCAGAAAAUAAUUGUAUAAAGCUCCACUCAGAGAUUUAGUAGGGAGGUCCUUAAUAAUAAUAUCUUCUGUCAUAUCCUUCUUAGAAAAUCGCUUGACUUAAUCUGCAUAUAUGUAACAUGGUUGAUGGAAAACAUCAAAAACAACAAAUUUCCUUUUGCUUUUAGAUUCAAAUAUGUUAAAAUACAAUCAAUACAAAGUAAAAUAAGACACCAAUAUCCUAAAAUUCUAAUUUAAUUAAAAAAGGCCAAAGAUAUCAUAAGC